AUUCGAGCUUGGGGAANGUAGCUUGCUACCGGACCUAGCGGCGGACGGGUGAGUAAUGCUNAGGAAUCUGCCUAUUAGUGGGGGACAACAUCUCGAAAGGGAUGCUAAUACCGCAUACGUCCUACGGGAGAAAGCAGGGGAUCUUCGGACCUUGCGCUAAUAGAUGAGCCUAAGUCGGAUUAGCUAGUUGGUGGGGUAAAGGCCUACCAAGGCGACGAUCUGUAGCGGGUCUGAGAGGAUGAUCCGCCACACUGGGACUGAGACACGGCCCAGACUCCUACGGGAGGCAGCAGUGGGGAAUAUUGGACAAUGGGCGCAAGCCUGAUCCAGCCAUGCCGCGUGUGUGAAGAAGGCCUUAUGGUUGUAAAGCACUUUAAGCGAGGAGGAGGCUACUUUAGAUAAUACCUAGAGAUAGUGGACGUUACUCGCAGAAUAAGCACCGGCUAACUCUGUGCCAGCAGCCGCGGUAAUACAGAGGGUGCAAGCGUUAAUCGGAUUUACUGGGCGUAAAGCGCGCGUAGGCGGCUAAUUAAGUCAAAUGUGAAAUCCCCGAGCUUAACUUGGGAAUUGCAUUCGAUACUGGUUAGCUAGAGUGUGGGAGAGGAUGGUAGAAUUCCAGGUGUAGCGGUGAAAUGCGUAGAGAUCUGGAGGAAUACCGAUGGCGAAGGCAGCCAUCUGGCCUAACACUGACGCUGAGGUGCGAAAGCAUGGGGAGCAAACAGGAUUAGAUACCCUGGUAGUCCAUGCCGUAAACGAUGUCUACUAGCCGUUGGGGCCUUUGAGGCUUUAGUGGCGCAGCUAACGCGAUAAGUAGACCGCCUGGGGAGUACGGUCGCAAGACUAAAACUCAAAUGAAUUGACGGGGGCCCGCACAAGCGGUGGAGCAUGUGGUUUAAUUCGAUGCAACGCGAAGAACCUUACCUGGCCUUGACAUAGUAAGAACUUUCCAGAGAUGGAUUGGUGCCUUCGGGAACUUACAUACAGGUGCUGCAUGGCUGUCGUCAGCUCGUGUCGUGAGAUGUUGGGUUAAGUCCCGCAACGAGCGCAACCCUUUUCCUUAUUUGCCAGCGAGUAAUGUCGGGAACUUUAAGGAUACUGCCAGUGACAAACUGGAGGAAGGNGGGGACGACGUCAAGUCAUCAU
rnacentral:rRNA from 1 species